GGAGAGAUGGGUGAGUGGCUGAAACCAGUAGUUUGCUAAACUGCCGUACUUUUAACGAGGUACCGGGGGUUCGAAUCCCCCUCUCUCCG
rnacentral:tRNA from 1 species